rnacentral:lncRNA from 1 species
CACUAAUACACAAAUUAUAUUAAGACCAAGAAGGAGAGUUUUCAAAAGCAGCAGACCUGACCUAAGCUAUGACAACUCAUGAUCACAAGUUUUUUAAGGAGCUUUUGAAAAUCACAGCCAAAAGGUUUUAUUUUGUUUUGCUCUAAGCACAGUCAGGAGCAUAGACCUGCUAGGGUGUGGAGGAGGUGUUGCUUGAAUGUAUUACUGGAGUGAAUCUCCACAGUGGCUACCUGGUUCUCAUGCCAGGUUGUCCUGCCCUCCCAAGGGGUGCAGCUUCUGUGACAAAGCACAACUUAAGGACAUAAAGUAAUAAGGAACCAAAGGAAUUGUAUGGCAGCUGAGAAGCUAGGAAUAAUAAUUUCAAAUUUCCUUGCCAAAGUCCUACGCAGGACUACCAGCAUACAGAACCAUCUUCAUUGAUGGGCACCUCAACUAUGGUCACCCUGUGUGACAUGGGGACAGUCCCAGGCCUCCUGAGCUGAUCCACGUUUAAAGACCUCCCUCUGGUCUCUGGGUUUGGUUCCCAAUCUGUACCUUUAUGUUGCUCUGUGGUUAUUGGUGUCCAUCAGGAUGGGCACCGUUACAGGAAACCAGCAAAACAGAUGGAUAUUCUGAGUAGUGCACUGGAAAAUGGGACAAAAUUGGAUAUUGCUGUCUUCUGGAGAAACAACAUAUCUCAGCUUGCUGGAGCUACUACCAGGUCAUGCAACACCAGAAUUAGCAAGAGCUUAAAGCCUGACUGCUUUUGGAAAUGUCUGAAGGUUGUGAGUUCUCAUGGCUUUUCUGAAGCCAAUCUACACCCUCAGCCCUAUCUAGAUGGUAAUUUCUGCAUACAGGGACACCUCCUCCAACUAUAUUGACCCAAAGGAGUAUCCUGUUCUGCAAGCUGGAUAGCUGAAAGAGAAACAUCAGGGAAUAUUUCUACAUAUACAUUUUGUAAGACCUUUGAUCCCAGCUCAUCUUGUUUAUGUGCUGAAAACUUUGCUGAAGUCAAU